rnacentral:rRNA from 1 species
UACAGAGGUCUCAAGCGUUGUUCGGAUUCAUUGGGCGUAAAGGGUGUGUAGGUGGCGCCGUAAGUCGGGUGUGAAAUUUCGGAGCUUAACUCCGAAACUGCAUUCGAUACUGCGGUGCUUGAGGACUGGAGAGGAGACUGGAAUUCAUGGUGUAGCAGUGAAAUGCGUAGAUAUCGUAAGGAAGACCAGUGGCGAAGGCGGCUACCUGGACCAGCACUGACACUGAGGCACGAAAGCGUGGGGAGCAAACAGG